GACUCUCGGCAACGGAUAUCUUGGCUCUCGCAUCGAUGAAGAACGUAGCGAAAUGCGAUACUUGGUGUGAAUUGCAGAAUCCCGUGAACCAUCGAGUAUUUGAACGCAAGUUGCGCCCGAAGCCGAAGCAUUUUGGCCGAGGGCACGUCUGCCUGGGUGUCACGCA
rnacentral:rRNA from 1 species